AACGAACGCUGGCGGCAUGCCUAACACAUGCAAGUCGAACGAGACCUUCGGGUCUAGUGGCGCACGGGUGCGUAACGCGUGGGAACCUGCCCUUAGGUUCGGAAUAACUACCCGAAAGGGGUGCUAAUACCGGAUAAUGUCUUCGGACCAAAGAUUUAUCGCCUUUGGAUGGGCCCGCGUUGGAUUAGCUGGUUGGUAGGGUAAUAGCCUACCAAGGGGACGAUCCAUAGCUGGUCUGAGAGGAUGAUCAGCCACACUGGGACUGAGACACGGCCCAGACUCGUACGGAAGGCAGCAGUGGGGAAUAGAGGACAAUGGGCGAAGGCCUGAUCCAGCAAUGCCGCGUGAGUGAUGAAGGCCUGAGGGUUGUAAAGCGCUUUUACCCGGGAUGAUAAUGACAGUACCGGGAGAAUAAGCCCCGGCUAACUCCGUG
rnacentral:rRNA from 1 species